rnacentral:tRNA from 1 species
AGGGUAAUAGCUCAGUGGUAGAGCGCAUGCUUAGCAUGCAUAAGGUCCUGGGUUCAAUCCCUAGGGUCCCCA